rnacentral:rRNA from 1 species
GAUGAACGCUGGCGGCGUGCCUAAUACAUGCAAGUCGAGCGAACGGACGAGAAGCUUGCUUCUCUGAUGUUAGCGGCGGACGGGUGAGUAACACGUGGAUAACCUACCUAUAAGACUGGGAUAACUUCGGGAAACCGGAGCUAAUACCGGAUAAUAUUUUGAACCGCAUGGUUCAAAAGUGAAAGACGGUCUUGCUGUCACUUAUAGAUGGAUCUGCGCUGCAUUAGCUAAUUGGUAAGGUAACGGCUUACCAAGGCAACGAUGCAUAGCCGACCUGAGAGGGUGAUCAGCCACACUGGAAGUGAGACACGGUCCAGACUCCUACGGGAGGGAGCAGUAGGGAAUCGUCCGCAAUGGGCGGAAGCCUGACGGAGCAACGCCGCGUGAGUGAUGAAGGUCGUCGGGUCGUAAAACACUGUUAUUAGGGAAGAACAUAUGUGUAAGUAACUGUACACAUCUUGACGGUACCUAAUCAGAAAGCCACGGCUAACUACGUG